rnacentral:rRNA from 1 species
GACGUAGGGCGCGAGCGUUGUCCGGAUUUAUUGGGCGUAAAGAGCUCGUAGGCGGCCAACUAAGUCGGACGUGAAAUCCCCAGGCUCAACCUGGGAACUGCGUCCGAUACUGGAUGGCUUGAAUCCGGGAGAGGGAUGCAGAAUUCCAGGUGUAGCGGUGAAAUGCGUAGAUAUCUGGAGGAAUACCGGUGGCGAAGGCGGCAUCCUGGACCGGCAUUGACGCUGAGGAGCGAAAGCCAGGGGAGCAAACGGG